GAUGAACGCUGGCGGCGUGCCUAAUACAUGCAAGUCGAGCGAACAGACGAGGAGCUUGCUCCUCUGACGUUAGCGGCGGACGGGUGAGUAACACGUGGAUAACCUACCUAUAAGACUGGGAUAACUUCGGGAAACCGGAGCUAAUACCGGAUAAUAUAUUGAACCGCAUGGUUCAAUAGUGAAAGACGGUUUUGCUGUCACUAAUAGAUGGAUCCGCGCCGCAUUAGCUAGUUGGUAAGGUAACGGCUUACCAAGGCGACGAUGCGUAGCCGACCUGAGAGGGUGGUCGGCCACACUGGAACUGAGACACGGUCCAGACUCCUACGGGAGGCAGCAGUAGGGAAUCUUCCGCAAUGGGCGAAAGCCUGACGGAGCAACGCGGCGUGAGUGAUGAAGGUCUUCGGAUCGUAAAACUCUGUUAUUAGGGAAGAACAAAUGUGUAAGUAACUAUGCACGUCUUGACGGUACCUAAUCAGAAAGCCACGGCUAACUACGUG
rnacentral:rRNA from 1 species